UACGUAGGGUGCAAGCGUUGUCCGGAAUUAUUGGGCGUAAAGAGCUCGUAGGCGGUCUGUUGCGUCGGCUGUGAAAACCCGGGGCUCAACUCCGGGCCUGCAGCCGAUACGGGCAGACUAGAGUUCGGCAGGGGAGACUGGAAUUCCUGGUGUAGCGGUGAAAUGCGUAGAUAUCGGGAGGAACACCAGUGGCGAAGGCGGCUUUCUGGCCCAAUACUGACACUCAUGUGCGACAGCGUGGGGAGCAAACAGG
rnacentral:rRNA from 1 species